rnacentral:piRNA from 1 species
UCUUUGGAUUUUAAACAUUGAAAAAUAGAC